rnacentral:rRNA from 1 species
CAGCAGCCGCGGGAAUACGUAGGUGGCGAGCGUUGUCCGGAAUCAUUGGGCGUAAAGGGAGCGCAGGCGGGCGUGUAAGUCUUUCUUAAAAGUGCGGGGCUCAACCCCGUGAUGGGUAAGAAACUACAUGUCUUGAGUACAGGAGAGGAAAGCGGAAUUCCCAGUGUAGCGGUGAAAUGCGUAGAUAUUGGGAGGAACACCAGUGGCGAAGGCGGCUUUCUGGACUGCAACUGACGCUGAGGCUCGAAAGCCAGGGGAGCGAACGGGAUUAGAUACCCCUGUAGUCCCUGUCUCUUAUACA